GGGGGCUAUGGCCUCUACGGACACGAAUCAGGCCAACUCCCUCCCACCACCACCACCACCGAAAACCUCCCCUACACAACAGAAACAGAAAACUCAUACAACAAAGAAUCCAUCCCUAGUUCCAACAAUGGCCAGUACUACAACAAUGAUGCUCAAGUCAAUACCGAAUCCUACUCAAACAAUGACCAGUACUACAACAACAAUGCUCAGGUCAAUACCGAAUCCUACUCAAACAAUGGCCAGUACUACAACAAUGAUGCUUAUGUCACUAAGCCGCAAGGCAUGAGUGACACAAGAUUCAUGGACGAGGCCUACAAGCCCUAAACGACUCCCAUCAACAACAACGACAACAACAACAACAAUUAUUAUAAUAACGG
rnacentral:lncRNA from 1 species